UGAUAAGUCAUUGGCAAAAAUUGGACUAAGUCCAGCAUCAAAUUGGAUUUGACGGGGAACUGUAUUGAAUCCAGGUAAGAGGCCGCUCAGUCUGAUGAUCAGAUGGAAACUGGACUGGAUUCAGUAGACAGGCUGGAGUGCAAUGGUGGGAUCUCAGCUCACGGCAACCUCCGCUUCCUGAGUUCAAGCAAUUCUCCUGCCUCAGCCUCCCGAGUAGCUGGGAUUACAGGUAUGUGCCACCAUAACCUGCUAAUUUUUGUGUUUUUAGUAGAAACGGGGUUUCACCAUGUUGGUCUGGAACUCCUGACCUUGUGAUCUGCCCACCACAGCCUCCCAAAGUGCUGGGAUUAAAGGCCUGAGCCACCACACCUGACCAAGGAACCUAUUUCUUGCCACUUUUCUAUGUUAAACUCUGUCCUGGUCAGUUCUAGAGUGUAUGCAGAACCAAAUGAUGUAAUUGUAUGCGACCUGGCUGUCGUGGAACAAAUAUGACUCAUAAGUAUGCAGACUCUAACUGUCCUGUCUGGUUUGGUAAGUAUUCCUUAGAUAGGUUUUUCUUUGAAAGCCUGGGAUUGAGAGGUUGAUGAAUGAAAAUUAAUCCUUUCACUUUGUUGUAUAUAGGUUUGCAAUAAUUAGAUCACAGUGGAGUUUUAAGGUCAUGAGGGGGGCUGAUGACUUACAAAUAAUGGGCUCUGAUUGGGCAACUACUCAUCUGAGCUCCUUCCAUUUGAUCCAAUUAAGCUCGUAAAAUUUACGCUAAGCCCAUGAGCUCAUCUUUAGAAAGUUUUUACUAACAGAUUUUCAGCUGUUCCAAAUGGGACUUAUUAGCGGAAUGUGUUUAAAAGGAUAAUAUCAGAUGGAUGAAAGGUAUUUGAUCACUUGUUUCCUUAAUAAAUUAUAAAAUGAUGACUUGGAAAAACAGACUAGAGUCUAACCACAGUGCUAUUAUUAGGCUUUCUUGUUAAACAUAGGUCUAAGCCUAAGUAUGUCAAUACAACAAAUACUGUUUCAUUUCUAUUAAAAACAAAAACAAAAAAACAAGUCUUUCUAGCAUAAGGACGAUUUUCAUCUGGUUAUUUUGAAACACUUUUGUAAGAUGAAUUUACAUCUAUAAAGAAAAUUUUUAUUUGUAAGGAGGAGUAUGUCUCUGGGCACUGGAGGAGAGGGAGGACUAAUCACUAGGAACUCUUAUGAUAAAGAAGCCAUUGGCUUAAAUCAGCAAAACGAGCCGUCCCUUUGUUUAAGGUAUUUUUCUGGCCAUCUUGUCUUAACUAGAACUGUACCUCCACCCUCCUUUUUGGUUUAGGCAAAUGACAAUAUCUAAACCUGAAGUCUCAGCUCUGUGCCCUCUACCAUGUCUUCUCUGGAACCUGAUAACUAUCUCUUUAAAAUGCAAGACUCGUCAGAAAAAGAAGAAAAAAGAGGUAUCUGGAAAUUGCGCAAAUUAAAGCAGCCGCUGAUGCCAAAGGCCUGAAGAGCACUUGGAUGACAGACACCUGAGGAGCCAGGUGCCCGAAACCUCGUCCAUCUGCUUGAGGGGAACCAAAGCCCAGGUGCUGGCUGGACGGCCCCUUCUGGCUGCCUAAGCAGGGGGCGGAGGAAGAAAACCAGCAGCCAAGCAGGCACUGGCCUUGAGAGAAGCAAGAUUAAAAUAACUACAACUCACCCAGUUCACAGACGCUGAGUAACUGCCCUCCUGCUCCACCAACCUUACUGACAGCUUUCACUGGACAAGGGACUGAUUGCAGUAACUUUCUCCUCAUAAGAGACCAUCCUCCAUGGACUGGUUCUGGCCAGUUUUACAGAGGCUGUGUGCCUUUACAGAGGCUGAGUAAUUUCAUGUCUCUGCUUCACUUUUUGAUGUGUAGGACACAAUUAUAAUACAUUUAAAUGUCAAGUCUCCCCUGAAAAAAUGAACAUGCUUGUUUAUUUAAUAUGCAUAUGUUAGGACCUCUUUUAUGAGUAUUCUCAUAAAAUGAUAUAGCUCCUCUGAUAUCCUGUUGAAUAUGUAUAUGUGGCCAACCCAUUGGCUCAAAUUCCUGUCCUCUCCUUCUCCAUGGAAGUACGUGCUUCUGGCUUUGCCUGGAGGCCACACUUCCCAGCCUGUCAUAAUGGCCACCUUGCAGAAGAAAUAAAGCUCUCUUUUCUAAAUUUA